CUGAUUCUUUUUCUCAUUCUUUUUCCUUCUCCUUUUUCUUUUCUGACUCCCAUUCUGUUUGAUAUUAUUUUCUAGUAACUUUUCUACGUCAUUCCCUUUUUUUCCAGCCCCUUUUUAUUAUUCUUUUAAUUAUCUGCUUUCUAUUUCUUUUUCAUAUUCUUUUUCUUUGUCUCAUUCUUCUUCUAAAUACUUCCCUAAUUCUUUUUCUCCUUCUAAGUCCCUUUCUCUUUCUAAUUCGUUUUACUUUUCUACAUACUUUUCCAAUUCUUUUUCCAAUUCCUUUACUAAUUCUAUGACUUCUUUACUUAAUAAUUCUUUACCUAUUUUUUUCCAAUUCUAAUUAUUUUUCCAACUUGUAUUUUGUUACUAAUUCUGUUAAUGUUUCUGAUUCUGUCUGAACUGUUAGUUGUGGGCCAGAAGCAGUGAUGGAGCACCUGGUUAAGGUGUGGACAGCCCAGGGAGCACAGGUGGAAGCAGUUCCCCUGUGGAGUGGGACUGGGUGGAGCCAGAGCCCACCUGAGCUCAUUUAAAGGCUGGCAGCUGAAGGGGAAGGGUCUGUGCCUGGAGGUUGCUCUGGCUGUUUGGUUGAGCAGAAGGUUCUGGACACCAGGACUUCUUCAAAGAGAUGUGAGGACUCCACUGAGGACCUUGAUGGACGCAGCAGGAAGCCACAGCCAACGCUGGACACCAACAUCAACACUUGAUCUUGUCUGGCAAGGUCUAUUGUUCCCAGAGGGCGUUCUUGCUGUUCUGGCCAUUCGAUGGAAUUGGUGAGAUCCCCUUGGCUUCCGUGUCUCGCUCUGGCCAGGCAGAUGUGGUGCGCCAACGGUAUGCAGAGUCCAGACCCUGAGCAGAACAACUGAGGAGAGAGGCUGCCCUGGGGCUCACCAAGUCCAAAUGUUCCCCGAUGGAGUCCAACUCCAGCUUGACCAACACUCACCCGUGACCCAAAUGCAGACUGCUCUGCGUUGCCCAAGCGUGAUGCCAAGAGAAGAGGUAGGCACCAGAACAGGCUGCUGGACUGGAGACUCCGCCACCAGGUGCCGUUGUCAUUCCUGACCUCCCCAGGUUGUGGCGUUGGACGUGCCCUGAUCCUUGGAAAGGGGAGGCAGUGGAGAGUUGUGACCCUCCCGAGUGCUGCAAAGGCUCUACUGAGGCUCUUGGUGGACACAACAGGAACCUGCACGCACAGAUGGA
ensembl:lncRNA